rnacentral:rRNA from 1 species
GAACGAAAAAGCCUUGGUUAAUACCCUUGGUCCAUGACGGUACCGUAAGAAUAAGCACCGGCUAACUACGUGCCAGCAGCCGCGGUAAUACGUAGGGUGCAAGCGUUAAUCGGAAUUACUGGGCGUAAAGCGUGCGCAGGCGGUUAUAUAAGACUGAUGUGAAAUCCCCGAGCUUAACUUGUGUACUGCAUUUGUGAUUGUAUAG